UCUUUGGUGGCUUAGAUGGUAAAGCAUCUGCCUGCAAAGUGGGAGACCUGGGUUCGAUUCCUGGCUUGGGAA
rnacentral:tRNA from 1 species